GUGGAUUAGAUACCCUGGUAGUCCUGGCCGUAAACGAUGGAUACUAGGUGUUGCGGGUAUCGACCCCUGCAGUGCCGAAGCCAACGCGAUAAGUAUCCCGCCUGGGGAGUACGCACGCAAGUGUGAAACUCAAAGGAAUUGACGGGGACCCGCACAAGCGGUGGAACAUGUGGUUUAAUUCGAAGCAACGCGAAAAACCUUACCAGGGCUUGACAUCUGAGGAAUCUCUAUGAAAGUAGAGAGUGCUCUUCGGAGAGCCUCAAGACAGGUGGUGCACGGUCGUCGUCAGCU
rnacentral:rRNA from 1 species